CUGCUGAAACUGGGUGCAAGGAGAGAGUAAAUGAAGCCAUUUCCUCCCGGAGGAGAUUAGUGAGGAAUUGAAAGGGGUUAUUCAGAAGGGCCCUCCUUCCAGUUUCCAUUAUUAAUCGUCAUAAACAAAGGAGUAAUAAUGGGUGUAGCAAAAGCAUUGCAAUUUUAGGGCCAGUUUAUUUGCGUACUGCGUUGAAAAAUCGGGAUAGCCCUUUAACGUCCAGUUCCCAUGUGACUUCACCAGAAUGAUGGUAUAUAUGGCAGGGAUGAGACCAGCGUUUCCAUCUUCCAGGAAUUGGUCUCAGCCUUUUAGGCUGGCAGGUACGAGAUCUCCUAAGUGGCUGAAUGGGCUGGCAGGCCUAGACACCCAGGUCCUCCAGUGUAAUGUGAGCUACUAAAGAUUACGACAGUGAAUUGGUUUGUCUUGUUCCUGAUUUGAAUGAGAUCACUUCUAAAAUUUUACCAAACCCAUGACACCCUCUGCGGAUGACCAGCAUUCCUCGUACCGCAAGAUUCUGUGCUUCCUUGCUGAGGCGUCUCACCCUGCUGGACUAUGAACUCCUUGGAGACAGGACUCCUCCCCUCUCUGUAUCCCCACUGCCUAGCGUGGUAUCUGGUGCAAAGAAGGAACACAGGAGAUGUGUGAUGAACGAACCAAGAACAGAGAGGGUGUUGUGGCGCCGUCGUGGAGAUGCUGGGACGGCCGAGGCAGAAGUGGGCGGAUGCAAACAGCCAUGUCUUUGAAGUCUCCCGUGAGGUCUCAAGUGUUCAUUGUGUUGACCACCCAGCUUGGAAUAAGGAUGUUGACAAAAAUAAACCAUGUGAUUCUCCUGCCACAUCACUUUCUCUCCCUAGUUAAGGUAACAGUCAUCCUUAAUACUGUGUUCAUGCUAGUUUUUUUAUUUAAAUACUACAGUUUAACAUUUGACAAGGAAUAGCACAAAUCACAUUUUAUGACACUCUAAAAAUAGUUCUACAUCUUCCAUGAGGAACUUGCAGUCAAAUAAGAA